rnacentral:lncRNA from 1 species
CCCUAGUACAUAGUUGUGUAUCCUAGUUGUAAGUCCUUCUAGUUCUUCUGUAUGAGCUGCCACCACAGCAUGGCUACUGAUAGACAAGUGGUGUGGUUCCACACCUGGGAACCGAACCCAGGCUGCUGAAGCGGAAUGUGCUGAACUUUAACCACUAGGCCAUCAGGGUUGGCCCAUAAGCAGUAUCUAGCUCAAGUAGGUGUACAUAAAUAUGUAAUCAAUGAAUGUAUUGAUGGACAGAAAAGAUGAGUGGACAAAUGGAAGGAUGGAAGAAAGAAUGCUUGGAGAGAUGGAUGGAUGGAAGAAAAGACUGAAGUUUGGAUAGAUGGAAGGAAGGAUGGAAAAGAUGGAAGAAAGAAAUGACAAGAGAAAGGAUGAAUGGAUAAAAGAACAGUUGGAUGGAAUGGGUGAAUAGGAGGACGAAAAGGAAUAACAAAGGGUGAAAUGAUGGAUGGAUGGGUGGAUGGGUGGUUGGAUAGAUGGAGGGAAGGAUGAAAAGACAGAAGGAAAAAUAUAAGGGAAGAUAGAAGAAAGCAUGGAAUGAUGGUUGAGGGAAUAGAUGAAUGAUUGGAUUCAUGGAUAGAUAUGACAGAGUUUUUAUGCCACUUGAGCUGGUCAGUUUUCUCACAAGGCAGGCUGGCCCCCCAGGUACUCCUUGAAGUGCUUCCAGCUGCCUGACCUGAUACAUUUAUCUUGCACUUUCUUUUUUUAAGGAUUGGCACCUGAGCUAACAACUGUUGCCAAUCUUUUUUUUUUUUUCCUGCUUUUUCUCUCCAAAUCCCCCCAGUACAUAGUUGUAUAUUUUAGUUGUGGGUCCUUCUAGUUGUGGCAUGUGGGAUGCUGCCUCAGCAUGGCCUGAUGAGAGGUGCCAUGUCUGCGCCCAGGAUUCGAACCGGUGAAACCCUGGGCCGCAGAAGCGGAGUACGCAAACUUAACCACUCAGCCAUGGGGCCGGCCCCAAUAUCUUGAACAUUUUGACCUUAGACAAUAAACUAAUCAUCUGUUUGUGGUUACUAAGAAAAACUAGAAUGCUAGAGAUCCAUUAGUUCAAUAGAUUAAAGGGAGUGUCAGAGAAAACGGUGCUCAAAGGGCUUGAGCAGCCUGCCAAGGUCAUGGCCAGUUCUUGAAAUACUUAACUUGAGCUCAGUUCUUCUAACUCCCCCCAGAACGCUGCACUCUACUCUUUGAUUUGCUCAAAUCUUUUCCCUAGAAGCUCAUUCUGAGCAGUGUCUUCCUGUCCACUAACCUGAGGGGAGUUUUUUCAUGGAACCAAGGAGAAAAGGAAAUGACCUCAAUCUAGGGUUGAGGCUGGGGAGCCCUGAGGGGGGGCAGCUGCCUUUCCACACCAAAUGUGACUCUGGGCACAUUCUUGAGCAGAAGGAAGAGAAUCUGGUCCAGCGCCAGCUUCCAGGCACCCUGCCAGGGCCAUGACACUCAAAAGGUUUGGGCAGCAGUAGAGAGCAGUCUGGGUGCCCAGAGAAGCCUUGGGGGAGGUGAGCCGGGAGGUCAGAGUGCCCCUCAUGGAACCCAGAGCAGGGCCUGGGCACAGAGAAAUCUGUAGCCCCUCUGCCUCUGUCCCACCUGCCCUCUGUGGUCAAGGUCCAAAGGCUGACCCUCUACCUGUGUCCUCAGCCUUGCCCCCCGUCCCCCAACCCGGGAGCGCUCACUGCUCUCUUCCUCAGCUAUUCACCAUCUUCCAGAAGAUGCUUGGACACCUGUGGUACCCACACACUGUCCUGCAUCCCUGCAUCCCAGGAGAGCCGUGCCUGGAUGCCGUUUGCUCCUUUCUCCAGUCUCCUUCCACACAGAGCCCCACUCUGGGAUGCUUGGAGGUUCCCUCCCCUGGAAGUUCCACCUUCAGCCUCUGAUGGAGACUUCUCACAGCCCCUGGAAGGAAGGGGCUUGGGGUUUCUACUACACAGAUAUGGACCUGAACCCAGGGCAAGAGGGUCAAGAGAGGUCACACGGUUUAAUUACCCAAGGGCGCAGAUUCUGGAAGUUACUAUUAAGGAGCAGUAAAGAUCACUUUUUCUAGCCUCUCUGUCUAGUUUUAUAAGUCCUGCUACAGGAUCAUUUUCUUUAAGGCAGCCUAAUGAUAAAGAGUGUGUUUUUGAAACGGCAACAUUUUAGUGUUUUCUUUUUCUUCCUUUCUUCCUGGAAAACAAUUCAGGGCUUUCUUUUCAUGCUUCAUGACCAUAGUGGCUGAAAAAAAUUCUGCUUUGGAAAGUCCGAGGUGAGUCCAAGUUUCCUAGGGAGGCCGGCCCGGCCGGUGGGGUGUGGGCUCUCUCGUUUUCUUUGGUGCAGACGAGGUUGGCCAGUCCCUGCCAGCCAGCCUCAGACACUCAGCCCUUUGUGGGCCUCGCGCCCGCUGCGGUUUUUAACGUUGUUCUUUUUCAGAGUUAAGAAUCUGUGGUUUUUAAUUGCACCUCCGGACACCACUGCGUCUGUUCCCAGCUGCUGGUUUCCUUACAGGCGGAGCGGAGGGACGCAACCGUGAUGCUGACACUCCUCCCUUUGAGUGGCAGGGUCUGGGCUCACGCCCCUUGAAUCCUGGCAGGCCUGUGACUAUGUCAGAAGAGACGUGACUUCUGAGGCUGGGUCAGAAAAGUAACAACGUUCUGUCCAGUUCUCUUGAGAUGUCUACCCUUGGAACUCAGUCGCCCUGGUGUGAGGAAGCACAAGUUACACAGAGGCCACGAGCACAUGCUCCAGUCCACAGCCCUGCUGUGGUCCCAGCUGACAGGCAGCCUCAACUGCCUGACAUGCACAUGAGGAAGACUCCAGCCCCAGCCGCCAUAACCGCAUGUGAGGCUCCAAGUGGAACCAGUCAAUCCCCAGAGCUGUGGGAUAUAGUAGUAAAAUGUUGUUUCAAGCCACUAAAUGUUGGAGGUGAUUUGUUAU